AGCUCCAAUAGCGUAUAUUAAAGUUGUUGCGGUUAAAAAGCUCGUAGUUGGAUUUCUGUCGAGGGCAACGGGUCCACACUAUGUGUGCGUAUCUGCUUUGGCCUUGGCAUCCUCUCAUCGAACGUCGCUGCGCUUCACUGCGUGGCACGGUAGGUGAGACUUUUACUUUGAGGAAAUUAGAGUGUUCACGGCAGGCAAUCGCCCUGAAUACAUUAGCAUGGAAUAAUAAUAUAGGACCGCGGUUCUAUUUUGUUGGUUCUGAGAACUGUGGUAAUGAUUAAUAGGGAUAAUUGGGGGCAUUCGUAUUAUCACGUCAGAGGUGGAAUUCUUGGAUUGUGUUACGACGAACUACUGCGAAAGCAUUUGCCAAGGAUGUUUUCA
rnacentral:rRNA from 1 species